rnacentral:rRNA from 1 species
UACGAAGGGGGCUAGCGUUGCUCGGAAUCACUGGGCGUAAAGCGCACGUAGGCGGCUUUUUAAGUCAGGGGUGAAAUCCCGGAGCUCAACUUCGGAACUGCCUUUGAUACAGCACGUCUUGAGUCCGAUAGAGGUGGGUGGAAUUCCUAGUGUAGAGGUGAAAUUCGUAGAUAUUAGGAAGAACACCGGUGGCGAAGGCGGCCCACUGGAUCGGUACUGACGCUGAGGUGCGAAAGCGAGGGGAGCAAAUGGG